ACGCACCAGUCAACCCGGAGCCACGGUCGUCGUAGGAACCGUACUUGCCGUUUUCUUAUGAACAUAAUCUCGUUGUGUUCAUCAUCUCUAUGAACAUACAUACAUAUAUAUAUAUAUAUAUAGAUAGAGAACCAUCAUCCGUCGUGUUGUGUGAACAUAUAUAUAUAUAUAUACCCAUUUAUCCGUUUUGUGUGUGUCUCUCUCUCUGUGUGUGUUCCUACGAAAAAGGGGAACAAACCAACAACCCCACCGUCCUAAAAAACAAAUUCUCAUCACCAAAAUUUCAUCGUGGUUCUGUUUUGUCUCAUUUUUUUUUUCGUUUCUCCGGGGGGUUUCUUUUUUUAAUUAUUUUUGUCUCCUGUUGUUGUCAUUUUUACACUCGCUAUAAACGUUGUUUCAAAAAGUCUAUCCCAUUACGGUCCUCACAGUUUUAAACCUUUUUCUUUCCCUUGGUGCUAAUACAAUAUUAUUCGGUUAUUAUUAAGAAUUUAAAUAUAACGUCGUGUUUGUUAGAGAUUUUCUAUGUUUACUUAAUCUAUCGAUAGUUUUAUCUUGUUUUCUUUCUUUUUUUUUCUUUUUUUUUUUUUUUGUUAAAAUUCUCUUCAAAUUUACAAAAGGUACAAAUUAAAUAACAUGUGUUUAAAAGAAACGUAAAAUAUAAUAAUAAAUAAUAACAAAGUGCGCGAGUGUGAGAAUUUGAAUAAACAUCUACGACCUAGAGAAAUAUACCAAAAAAUAGAAGAAGAAGAAGAAGAAGAAGAAGAAGAAACACAUUAAUAACAACAACAACAACAAUAUUAGUGUUUUUCCUCGUGCAUUGUUGAUGUGAGAAAACGAAGAAGACUAGACGAGACCAACGAACACCACCGAUGGGCAAAAAAUUGCGGUACGCGAUUCGUGGCGCGAACGAUUCGACGAAUAGAAAAGUUUUCUUAUUCGGUGUCGCCUCGUGUUCGAAUAAUCGCGGAAGUGGAGAAGACGGGGUUGCAAUCCCCGUUCCCCUUUCGGUUCGCGUAUAAUAAGUGCGUGCGUAAGUAAGCAAACUAGCAAGUUAGCAAACUAACAAGCAAGGAAGCAAGCAAGUUAGCAAGCUAGCUAGCUAGGCUAGGCUAGGCUAGCAAGUGCAUGAGAACAUCAGUCGACGCCCUGGAACAAGUUGGGUCAGAUGAAAGUGAAUCAAACGAUUAUGAUAUUUUAUUGUUAAUCGUAAAGUUUUAUGUAUGAACAGGAUUAUAAAAGAAGAAGAACAAGAUGACAAAUUGUGAAUAAUGGAUCAUAUCUGAUGUGAUGUGUACCCCAAAGAUUCUAUUUGUGUUUUAUUCGCGUAUACGAUAAUAUUUUACGAUAAUAAUAAUAAUAAUUAUCAUUAUUAUUAUUAUAAUAAUAAUAAUAAUAAGAAGGAAAAUACAGGGUGUGCAACAACGACCAGUGCAUUCGACGAUAAGAGAAAAAGCAGCCUUUAUUAUUCUAACUACUGUUACUACCUACAACUAAAAGCGACUCCAACUACUGUGAUAUAAAUAUAUAUAUGUAUAUAUAUAUAUGUAUAUAUAUAGAAGCAAGAGACACUCUCCAAUGAAAAAGAGAGAGAGAAAGAGAGACGAGAAAUCGAUCCUCGAAACUCGUCCCGUUUCAAUUUCUCUUCUCUUGGCACUUCGUGGUGACUCAUUUCGGGGAAAGUAAGACGAAGCUUAACUCGGAAAGGAGAGUUUAUGGAUAUCGAGACUAAGGAUAAAUUCGAAGAAAAAAUA
rnacentral:lncRNA from 1 species